GUUGUUUUUGCGGACGGAGGAAGUCCUGCUCGGUGUUCCUUCAGCUGGUGAAGAAGAACCUGUUAGUGUUUGUUUAUAAUGUCGGUUCACCUGAAGGACAGAGAGGCUUUCCAGAGACUGAACUAUCUUUACCAGGCUGCUCAUUGUGUCUUGGCUCAGAACCCGAACAAUGUGGAGCUGGCCCGGUUCUACUGCUUCACACAGAAAACCAUCGCCAGACGGCUGGUCCUGAGA